AUGGAGGAAGACGCACCGGCAGAGGAAGACGAUCUGGCGGAGGUAGACGAACCGGCAGAGGAAGACGAACCGGCGGAGGUGUGGAGAAGACGACGGAGACGGCAGGUUUGUGGGCUGAACAGUGACGCGGGUUUGUGGACGGCGAAGGGAGGAAGCGAUUUGUGGAGAGACGGCGGAGAUGGUGUGGAGAGACGGCGGGUUCGUGGGCGGAGAACUGUGAUGGCGAAGGGAGAGAGCCGUUAUGUGGUUUAG